rnacentral:rRNA from 1 species
UACAGAGGUCUCAAGCGUUGUUCGGAAUUACUGGGCGUAAAGGGCGCGUAGGCGGCGCGAUAAGUUGGGCGUGAAAGGCCCGGGCUCAACCCGGGGACUGCGCUUGAUACUGUCGCGCUGUGAGUCCGGGAGAGGAUGGCGGAAUUCCCAGUGUAGAGGUGAAAUUCGUAGAUAUUGGGAAGAACACCGGUGGCGAAGGCGGCCAUCUGGACCGGCACUGACGCUGAGGCGCGAAAGCGUGGGGAGCAAACAGG